AGAUUGAACGCUGGCGGCAUGCCUAACACAUGCAAGUCGAACGGGAGUAGCAAUACUCUAGUGGCGGACGGGUGAGGAAUACGUAGGAAUUUGCCCUUAAGUGGGGGAUAACCCGGGGAAACCCGGAUUAAUACCGCAUGACCUCGAAAGAGCAAAGUGGGGGAUCGCAAGACCUCACGCUUUUGGAGAAGCCUACGUCGGAUUAGCUAGUUGGUGAGGUAAUGGCUCACCUAAGGCGACGAUCCGUAACU
rnacentral:rRNA from 1 species